AUACGAAGGGGGCUAGCGUUGUUCGGAAUUACUGGGCGUAAAGCGCGCGUAGGCGGACUGAUCAGUUGGGGGUGAAAUCCCAGGGCUUAACUCUGGAACUGCCUCCAAUACUGUCAGUCUUGAGUUCGGGAGAGGUGAGUGGAAUUCCUAGUGUAGAGGUGAAAUUCGUAGAUAUUCGGAAGAACACCAGUGGCGAAGGCGGCUCACUGGCCCGAUACUGACGCUGAGGCGCGAAAGCAUGGGGAGCAAACAGGAUUAGAAACCCCAGUAGUCC
rnacentral:rRNA from 1 species